CCCUUAGACGUUCUGGGCCGCACGCGCGCUACACUGACGAAGGCAACGAGCUUUCCUUUACCGAAAGGUACGGGUAAUCUUUUGAAACUUCGUCGUGCUGGGGAUAGAUCCUUGCAAUUUUUGAUCUUAAACGUGGAAUGCCUAGUAAGCGCAAGUCAUCAACUUGCGUUGAUUACGUCCCUGCCCUUUGUACACACCGCCCGUCGCUACUACCGAUUGAAUGGUUUAGUGAGGCCUUCGGAUCCGCGACUCGUUUGUGGAGAAGUUGGACAAACUCAGUCAUUUAGAGGAAGUAAAAGUCGUAACA
rnacentral:rRNA from 1 species